GUAUUUGUCCUUUCUUAUAAUCUUAUUAUUUUUUUCACUAAACUAUUGAGUUUGAUUAUAUAGAUUGUUGAGUUAAUAAGUAUGAAAAUGUCAUCUUUAAUAGUUUUUUAUUUAAUAGUUUUUUAUUUAAUAGUUACAAUUUUAAUUUAAUAGUUUUUAUUUAAUAAAGAGUAUUAAAUAGAAUGAAAAUUUUGUUUGUAAAAAAAAUUUUAUUUAAUAUUAGUUUCAAUUUAAACUAAUAUUAAUUAGUUUAUAGAAAUAAUGAUUGUUUCGAUAGUGUCUACCCGCUGCAUCGCGCGGGUAACUACACUAGUUAAUUAUAACUCCACUUGCUUUGGUAUAAUCUGAAAUAAUUAAUUACUUUAAAAGCCUAAGUUAUUAGGAAAUAAUAUUUUAGUACUCUACAUUCAACAAUCAUGUAAAGUAAGAUAACAAGUCCCGAUAAAAUAUAGUAUUGUUUAACGAUGCAUCGCGCGGGUAACUACACUAGUUAAUUAUAACUCCACUUGCUUUGAUAUAAUCUGAAAUAAUUAAUUAAUUUAAAAGCCUAAGUUAUUAGGAAAUAAUAUUUUAGUACUCUAUAUUCAACAAUCAUGUAAAGUAAGAUAACAAGUCCCGAUAAAAUAUAGUAUUGUUUAACGAUGAAAAGAAUUUUAAAAAAAAUUUUUUAUUUUUUUCAACUUUUCUCACCAGUAUAAUUAGAAGUUUCAAAUUAAAAUUUUAUUUUUGAACUUAAAAUUUUAUAUUUACUUCAAUACAAUAUC
rnacentral:lncRNA from 1 species